GGGGCGAUAGCAUAAUCCGGUUAGUGUCUUCGGCUCCAGACCGAAGGAUCGGGGUUCAAAUCCUCGUCGCCCCA
rnacentral:tRNA from 1 species